AGCGCGCGUGCCCUUGCGAGUCGGGGGUGCCCACGGGCGGCGGAGAGAUCGGCCGACCUUCCCCCCUAGACACACCGCCUUAAUGCUAUUUGACUUCCAAGAAGAACUGAAAUAAAUUAUGUUCAGAGCUCCUUAGAAGAAAUACCCUUACAGGUUGAAAGUGUCGUUACCUCCACAGGGACUUCCUAGUUGCCCUCUGCAGGAGAUCAUAAGACAUCCCAGGAAAUGGAAGAGCAGUUUUGCUGAGUAAAUGUGAAACAGGCUUCGGGAUGGAGAGAAAAAUCAGCUGUUCAGCUCCCUCUCUGCUCUCCAGUGAAAGCCCUGAGACUGGAAAUCUCUACGAUUCUUCUCCAGUGCUUUUCAAGUUUUAAUCGAAGAACAUCUUUGUGAUCAGAUUAACCAAAUAUUGACCCCCAAAAGGAAGCUAAGACUCAGAGAAGAUCGGUAGAGACCUUUCAAGCCUCUAAUAUGCUGCUGCCUCUUAGCUGUUGGAAUCAGAGCAUACUUGUUGCAAGUGGCUACGGUGAGGAAAUGACCAGCUCGAAGCAGAUACUAAUUUUCCCUGCCCCCUCACCCCCACCCCAAUGAGCUGGCACAUGCUGGAGGUGGUGCAUGGCAGAGCUGCGCUGCUCCUAAGAGGUAUGUUUCUGAAGAGAACGGGAAAUGGGCACCGCUGCACACAGGUGUGGUCCUCUGUGGUCCCACCCGUCUUCCCAGAAAGUCCCUGGAGUAGCCACACCUAAGAAAGUGAUCCAAUCAAGAAAACAAAACAUUCCACCCUGCAUCAGGGUCAGCAGUUUAGGAGGUGACGGGAACUGAGUUCUGCGAUAUUGCUGUCGCCAGUGGUGACUUGCACAGAGGAGCCCCUGGAGCCCCUGAGAGCCACACCUGGCCCCUCGGACACCAAACUCAUGGCCGCCUAGCACUCAGAUGACGGGGGAGCUGUGCCUUCUUGGCAGGCAGGACCCUGCCAACAGGUAAAGCUGCUUUCAGCCAACAAUAUUCCCUGUGCCAGGGACUGUGCACGGACUGGGAGAAGAAGUGGAGGACAGACUGUGAUGAUCUCUGACUUUCUGGAGGCUCAGCUGAACUGGGGAGAUGGAUGCUGCAUGAGAGACUAAGCUAACAGAGGAAAUGAUGCUCUGAAGGAAGUGGAAAUGGUGAACAUCAGGGCUGGACUGUUUUGGAUCUGAAGGCAAAGCAAGCACUUUCUGAGGAGAGCACCUUUAAACCAAAUUAACAAUUGUGGUGCUGGAGAAGACUCUUGAGAGUCACUUGGACUACAAGGAGAUCCAACCAGUCAAUCCUAAAAGAAGUCAAACGUGAACAUUCAGUGGAAGGGCCGAUGCUGAAGCUCCAAUACUUUGGUCACCUGAUGCAAAGAGCCAACUCAUUGGAAAAGAGCCUGAUACUGGGAAAGAUUGAAGGCAGGUGGAGUAGGGGACAACAGAGGAUGAGAAAGUUGGAUGGAAUCACUGACUCAAUGGAUAUGAGUUUGAGAAAACUCUGGGAGACGGUGAAGGACAGGAAAGGCUGGCGUGCUGCAGCGUAUGGGGUUGCAGAGUCAGAUGUGUUCAGUCAAAACUGAAGAACAAGAGCAACAACAAUGAAGAGACAGGACCAGCAGGUGGAGAAAGGCAGGAGGCACCUCAGCCUCUCCACAGAGACUGCAGAGCAGUGAGCCGGUCAGGAUGAGACGUCCAGCAGAUGGGAUGCUUCUCACUGCAACGUUGAGGGUGGUCCUUUUAACUCCAUCCGCCCAUUUGAAGGCCAGGCUUCUCCAGAAACACCCUCAACAGACACACCCCGAAAUACAUUUCACCAGCUCUCUGGGCCUCCCUUAGCCCCAUCAAGUUAACCCAUCAUACCAACCAUCACAAAUAACUGUGUGUGAAGGGUGAAAGCCCCAUGUCUCUGAAGCCAGUGGGUGUUCACAAGAGGAUUAUGGGAAGAGGGACAGAAGUGCCUGGAUGUACUGUUCAGAACUGGCAGGACCGGCCUCUAAAAGGAAGACUUAAAAUGAUGUUUUUGACAUCAACACUUUCCCCAAAGUUGAUGUAAGUCCUGGGGUUUUGGCAAAGGCCCACAGGCUACCUCUGACCUGUUGUCUCUUAAAAAAAAUUUUUUUUAUUUAUUAAUUUAUUUUUGGCUGCACUGGGUCUUUGUUGCUACACAGGCUUUUCUCUAGUUGCGGGCUACUCUCUAUUUGUGGUGCAUGGGCUUCUCAUCUGGUGGCUUCCCUUGCCACAGAGCACGGGCUCUAUGGCGUGCAGGCUUCAAUAACUGUGGUGCAUAGCCUCAGUCGUUGCAGCUCAAAGACUCUAGACGGUGAGCUCUGGAGUCAGGGCACAUGGGCUUAGUUGCUCCAUGGCAUGUGGGAUCUUAUUUCCUGGACCAGGGGUCACCUGCACUGGCAGGCAGAUUCUUAACCACUGGACUACCAGGGAAGUCUCUGUUGCCUCCUUUUGUAAGUUAAGAUUCAUGGGAUCGCCAUGGCCACAGCCAUUUGUGGAUGUGUUGUCUACAGCUGCUUUUGGACACAACGUGGAACAGUGUUGAUAAAGACCACAUUGUCUACAAAACCUCAAAGAUUU
ensembl:lncRNA